AACGCUGGCGGCAUGCCUAACACAUGCAAGUCGAACGGCAGCACAGCAGUAGCAAUACUGUGGGUGGCGAGUGGCGGACGGGUGAGUAAUGCAUCGGGAUCUACCCAAACGUGGGGGAUAACGUAGGGAAACUUACGCUAAUACCGCAUACGUCCUACGGGAGAAAGCGGGGGACCGAAAGGCCUCGCGCGGUUGGACGAACCGAUGUGCGAUUAGCUAGUUGGUAGGGUAAUGGCCUACCAAGGCGACGAUCGCUAGCUGGUCUGAGAGGAUGAUCAGCCACACUGGAACUGAGACACGGUCCAGACUCCUACGGGAGGCAGCAGUGGGGAAUAUUGGACAAUGGGCGCAAGCCUGAUCCAGCAAUGCCGCGUGUGUGAAGAAGGCCUUCGGGUUGUAAAGCACUUUUAUCAGGAGCGAAAUACUACUGGCUAAUAACCGGUGGGGCUGACGGUACCUGAGGAAUAAGCACCGGCUAACUUCGUGCCAGCAGCCGCGGUAAUAC
rnacentral:rRNA from 1 species